CACGGCAGGGUUCAUGACUGGGGUGAAGUCGUAACAAGGUAGCCGUAUCGGAAGGUGCGGCUGGAUCACCUCCUUU
rnacentral:rRNA from 3 species